GACCUCUGGCCUGCGCCCGCUCACAACCACCCUUACUUCAACCUCUGACCUCAAAUCAGGUAGGGCUACCCGCUGAACUUAAGCAUAUCAAUAAGCGGAGGAAAAGAAACUAACAAGGAUUCCCCUAGUAGCGGCGAGCGAAGCGGGAUGAGCUCAAAUUUGUAAUCUGGCGUCCGCCGGGCGUCCGAGUUGUAAUCUAUAGAAGCGUUUUCCGUGCCGGACCGUGUCCAAGUCCCUUGGAACAGGGUAUCGAAGAGGGUGACAAUCCCGUGCUUGACACGACGACCGGUGCUCUGUGAUACGCUCUCUACGAGUCGAGUUGUUUGGGAAUGCAGCUCAAAAUGGGUGGUAAAUUCCAUCUAAAGCUAAAUAUUGGCGAGAGACCGAUAGCGAACAAGUACCGUGAGGGAAAGAUGAAAAGCACUUUGGAAAGAGAGUUAAACAGUAUGUGAAAUUGUUGAAAGGGAAACGAUUGAAGUCAGUCGUGUCGGGAGGAUUCAGCCGGCCCUGCCGGUGUACUUCCUCCCGACGGGUCAACAUCAGUUUUGCCCGACGGACAAGGGAGGUGGGAAGGUAGCACCCUCGGGUGUGUUAUAGCCCGCCGUCGCAUACGUCGGGCGAGACUGAGGAAUGCAGCUCGCCUCUAUGGCCGGGGUUCGCCCACGUCCGARCUUAGGAUGUUGACAUAAUGGCUUUAAACGACCCGUCUUGAAACACGGACCAAGGAGUCUAACAUACCUGCGAGUGUUUGGGUGUCAAACCCGGGCGCGUAAUGAAAGUGAACGUAGGAGGGAUCCGCGAGGAGCACCUUUGACCGAUCUGGAUCUUCUGUGAUGGAUUUGAGUAAGAGCAUGUAUGCUGGGACCCGAAAGAUGGUGAACUAUGCCUGAAUAGGGCGAAGCCAGGGGAAACUCUGGUGGAGGCUCGUAGCGAUUCUGACGUGCAAAUCGAUCGUCAAAUUUGGGUAUAGGGGCGAAAGACU
rnacentral:rRNA from 1 species